GAGGCUGUAGCUCAGUGGUAAAGUGCUUGCCUCACAUGUAUGAGGCACUGGGUUCAAUCCUCAGCACCACCU
rnacentral:tRNA from 1 species